rnacentral:rRNA from 1 species
CAUGCAGUCGAACGGCAGCGGGGACUUCGGUCCGCCGGCGAGUGGCGAACGGGUGAGUAAUAUAUCGGAACGUACCUUUCAGUGGGGGAUAACGUAGCGAAAGUUACGCUAAUACCGCAUAUUCUGUGAGCAGGAAAGCAGGGGAUCGCAAGACCUUGCGCUGAUUGAGCGGCCGAUAUCAGAUUAGCUAGUUGGUGAGGUAAAGGCUCACCAAGGCGACGAUCUGUAGCGGGUCUGAGAGGAUGAUCCGCCACACUGGAACUGAGACACGGUCCAGACUCCUACGGGAGGCAGCAGUGGGGAAUUUUGGACAAUGGGGGCAACCCUGAUCCAGCCAUGCCGCGUGAGUGAAGAAGGCCUUCGGGUUGUAAAGCUCCUUCGGCCGGGAAGAAAUCGCGUGGGCUAAUACCCUGCAUGGAUGACGGUACCGGAAUAAGAAGCACCGGCUAACUACGUGCCAGCAGCCGCGGUAAUACGUAGGGUGCGAGCGUUAAUCGGAAUUACUGGGCGUAAAGCGUGCGCAGGCGGUUUAGUAAGACAGGCGUGAAAUCCCCGGGCUCAACCUGGGAACUGCGCUUGUGACUGCUAAGCUAGAGUACGGCAGAGGGGGGUGGAAUUCCACGUGUAGCAGUGAAAUGCGUAGAGAUGUGGAGGAACACCGAUGGCGAAGGCAGCCCCCUGGGCCGAUACUGACGCUCAUGCACGAAAGCGUGGGUAGCAAACAGGAUUAGAUACCCUGGUAGUCCACGCCCUAAACGAUGUCAACUAGGUGUUGGGUGGGUAAAACCAUUUAGUACCGUAGCUAACGCGUGAAGUUGACCGCCUGGGGAGUACGGCCGCAAGGUUAAAACUCAAAGGAAUUGACGGGGACCCGCACAAGCGGUGGAUGAUGUGGAUUAAUUCGAUGCAACGCGAAAAACCUUACCUACCC